CAACCUCCUGAAACUCGGGGGUGUAUGUGAAGUUUCUCCCUGUCUCCAGAACUUCUGCCUGCCACCCCGUUCUGGGGUUCUCCCCCGAAGUCGGUCACACCACCGAGGAGUUUAUCUGCUGUUCAAGGAUAAUAAAUUCAGAGCAGAUUACGGUGCACGAGGCUGAUGAACAAAGAUGGACACGCCGAGCUAGAACCUCCUCGCUCUGGUUUCCUAAUGGAUGUAACAGGACAAAUCAGCGAGACGGGACUUCCCAUUCUCUGUGUGUGUGAG
rnacentral:lncRNA from 1 species